UAUGCUAUAUUCUGUUUCCUAAAUUUUCGUUGAUGUAGACUGUAAUGAUUGUUUACAAUUAUUUUUGUCAUAAAUCGUUCAUGAUUUAUUGAAAUUUAUAUUCCGAUGGAUGAAAACGAUCGUAAUAAAUCAGAAAACCCAGUUCUCCAUGUGCUGGUGGUUGGUUUUCAUCAUAAAAAAGGCUGCCAGGUUGAAUACUCGUUCCCACCUCUGAACCCGGACGGCAGUGAUGACUCGGAAUGCCCGGCCGGCUGGAAGUACCUGCCCACCCUGGCUCUGCCCGACGGAUCCCACAACUACGAGGAAGACACCGCCUUCUUUCAUCUGCCCUCUCUCUCCGACCCACACCGCACCGUCUUCGGCAUUUCCUGCUUCAGGCAGAUACCGGUCGAGAAAUUGAAGAAACGGACGGCCGACAUGACCCGCGGCACCGUGCAGAAGGCGGUCUGCGUUCUCAGCCGUGUUCCGCUCUACGGUCAGAUCGAGGUCAAAAUGGCGCUGAUCACUCACGCCUACUUCGACGAGGGCGACUUCUCCAAGGUGCAGCUGCUCGCCGACACCUUCCAUCACCUCAAUGCCUGCAUCAGUCACAAGCUCAAUGAUCAUCAGGAUGGCUGUGAUAGCUGGGACCAGGGCCAGGCCUUUGUUGGUCUGUCAGUGCGUGACUUGGUACUGCAUUGGCGUCACAAGGCACUGUUACUAUUCAAACUGUUGCUGUUGGAACGUCGCGUGGUUUUCUACAAGUCACCAGUGCGACCCCUGUCGGCCACCAUCCUCACCCUCCUGUCUCUACAUCCUCACAUGAUACAACAUGGACUCUACCAGUCUGCCUGCAUACAACCUUCGCGCCCCAUGUCGCCUGUUCCACAAUUCGCUGCCAAACAAGAAAACAACGGAGAAGAAGAGAGCAAACAAAAAGAAGAAGAAGGGGAAGAGGAGGAGAGAAGUAGAAGAAAGAGAAUAGGUAGAAGACGAGCUGAAGAAGGAGAAGAAGAGAUUGAUAGGACAGCGAAUAUGGGAGAGGAAGAAAGUAAAAGAGAAGAAGGAGACGGAGAACAGAGGAAGAAUAUGGGCGAAAGAAGGACGGAGGAGAAGGAGAAGGAGGAUGAGAAGUCACGUAGAAUCGGAGGAGAAGCGGAAGAAGAAGAGAGUGGGAGAAGAAUAUUAGGAGACGAAGAAGAAGAUGGGAGAGAAGUUGGUGGAGAUGAAAGAAAGACUGAGGUUAGAAAGGGAGAAAGAGGUGGAGAAGGAGGAGAAGAUGGAGAAAGAGAAGAAGAAUUGAAGAGGAGGUUGGGUGAUGAUGGAAAGAAUCUUGAAGAAGAAGAAGAAGAGAGACGAAAAGAAGCUGAAGGUGAAAAGGAGGAGAAGAAGGGGGACUUGGUGGAAGAUGUGAAGAGACGAAUGAGGGUGGAAAGGGGAGGUGAAAAUGGGUUCAAAGCGGAAAAAGUGAAACGAAACGGGUUUAUAGAGGGUGUCGCUGCUACGAAUGGAUGUAAAACGGAACAGGGAAUUGGUGGAAUGGAGGAAUGCCGAGGAAGGAGUGAUAAAACGGUGGAGAUAACCAGAGAGACGGCCGUAUGCGACAUUGCCUAUGUGAAGUUCAGCAGACGUGCGGUGACUGAUGACGACGCCGUCGGCGCGGAUGACGUGUGCACAGAUGACGUCACAUGCGACGUGACAAUAGCCGCAUUGCCGCGUGACGUUAGCUGUGAGACUCUCAGAGACUCGAGUGACGUCACGGCGCAAACAAAUAUGGCUGCCGUUGCUAGUAUGGACGCACGUGGAUGCGGUCUACCGCUUGCAGUAUUCGAAAAGGGCUAUCUGUGCCUGCCCUAUCUCUCGCUGCCCUACUUGGAUCUUCUCUCGGACGACAAUGUGAGAGGAUAUGUGGUGGGGGCGACCAAUGUACUAUUCAAACAAAAGAAGAAGCUUGCCGAUGUGCUAGUCGAGGUAGACGGAGCCCGCAUAGAAGUGGUCACCCAUCCAGUGGCGACACCGCAGGACUUGCGACGUCAGCUACAUCUGAGCACUGAGGAUCUGCGAUUCGCCGACUAUCUGGUGCGUCACGUGGUGGGGACACCGCCUCAGGACACCAGUGGGGCGUUGAAGACUCCUCAGGACACCGGCAAGGAAGCCAGGACCCCGCAGCAGGAUGUGUUUGUGGACGGAGUUGGCUGGGAGGGAGGUGAUGAAUGGAUUAGAGCUCAGUUCCACGCCUACAUGCUCUGUCUACUUCGCACGUCUCUGCUGCCAGAUGGAAGCCGUGAGCUGGACCAUUUCAACGCCUCGUUUGUGUCAGCCUUUCGACGCACGCACAGCUACCAGCAGUGGAUGGCCGAGCUGAGUGGUGACACACCCUCCCUGUGGCAGUUGUCACCCGGUCACCCAUUCGCUGGCGGCUCACAGCUCAGUGUCGCCGAUAUGCGACUGCGCAUCUCUCAUACGAUGCAAAACACGGAAGGAGGGAGAAAACUGAAUCAAGCCAUGGUUAGCACGGGUCGGGCAGUGGCCACUACUGGAAGAGCUGUUGGUGGAGCGAUAUCGCAAGCCAAGGGAGCCCUUUCCAGCUGGUGGUCAAAUUUGACAACCGCCCAAAGCCCCACAGACGGGUUGACGCCUGGGGCGUUCCAAGAGGAGGGUAUCAUACAGCCAGGGGGUGAGAAAAAUGAUGCGCCGUCUCUAGAAAAUAAUUGUCAACCAGGGGUUGAUAGAAAUGAAACGUCGUCUUUUAAGAAUAAUUGUGAGCCAGGGGGUGCCAAAAAUGGAGCGCCGUCUCCAGAAAAUGAUUGUCAGCCAGGGGGUGAUGAAAAUGAUAGUCUGCCACUUGAGAACGGAUUGAAAUCAGCUGAUGAGGAGGACAAAUCAAGGUCAAAUCAUACGAUGACGUCAUCAAAGAUUUUGCAAGUCUGAUGUGGCAUAGUGGAGUAAAGAUAUAUGAAACAUCAAUUUUUAAUUUCAAUCUACUGUGUGAGGUUCACGUUAUAAGUCAGUGGAAAUGAUAGGACAACAGAGUUGCCGAUUCUCUGCGUUACCACCGCCUUCUAUAGUAGAUAGAUGUGAUUCAAGUUAUCCCCCUGUAUCUGAUCUGAUAUUAAUUGUAGAUUCUUUUUAAUAAUUCUGUCAAAUAUCAUACUUUAUGCGUAAGGAAAUAUAAGUUCCUAUGAUUUAAUACUAUAAAUUUUCAUAGUUGAGAUGAAAUAUGUAGGUAGAAGAGGAUAGAGCUAUCUGCUUUGUGGAAUGAUAGACGAGGAUAGCAACACCAAUGUUAAUCAGGUGCUGACUUUAUAACGUGGACCUCAUUACAGUUUCUAAUGUGUUUUCUUCUAAAGAAAUUGUAUUUCUUGUUGAAUACCUCAAUAAAAAUUUUUGUUACUAAAAUUAUUUCAGAAAAAUAAUGUUAAUGCAUACAAUACAUUUUUGUUAACUUUGCGUUAAUUUUUCCAUCGUUUUUUUCAGUCAAUGCUAAUUUAAAAUUACUGCAAAAUGUUUUCUAAAAUUAAUUUCUCAUUUUAUCUAAGAUGUAAAUAUACAAGCAAAAUUAAAAUACUCUGUACCUAUCUCGGACUAUGUGUAACCUUGUCUAAAUUUGGGAGAGGAAUAGCACAAGGUUACCUUAUUUUUUCUCUCCCUAUCAUUUUGAUGAUGUACUUAUUGUAUCAAUCAAUGAAGAAUUGGCGGAGUUGAAUAUACUCCUAUACAUAUGGGGAAAGUAACCCCCGUUACACGUACCGGCGGUUAAA
rnacentral:misc_RNA from 1 species